CUUUUGGCUUUUCUAGUUUUGAAAAUGGACUGAAGGGAGCCAGAAGUCAAGGAAUGUGGUCUCUGGAAGACAUGGAAGCAGAUAGUCUGGUAGAGAACCUCAAAAGAAACACACACUGCUCAGUGGGAUCCAUGUCACACUAAUAACUACAGAAUGAUUUUGUUCACUGCUGCAGUUUUCCACUCGUCAGCUGUGUAACCAGAAGUUUAUCAUGGAUACAAUCAGAGCAGGAGAGAUUUGCGGAGAGCACCUGAGCAAUCACUGGUGUUUUUGUUAUUUGUCCUGUGACAGAUGAUUUUCAGGAAUAUUUAAGGAGCUAGAACCUGCUACUGAUGAACAUGCCACUGAAACAACAGUCCUUUGUAAAGGAAAACCACUCUUCUUUUGAUAUAAAACAGCUUGUCUGAAUGCUGGAGUGUAUACAUUGAAGCUCUGAUUACUGCUUUUAAAAAAAUUUCACAUAUAUUCUCUCUAACAAGCCCUAUGACAGGUGCAAAUUUCCCCAGUUUUCAAAUUGGGAAAUAGAAAACUAAAUUUGCCUCAGUGUCAUGUGGAUGACUAAACGUUGUCUUGGCCCAAUUUGUGCUGCUAAAACAAAAUACCAGAGACUGGGAAAUUUAUCAAGAAUGGAAGUUUAUUGGCUUAGAGUUUCGGGAGCCUAAGAAGCCCAAGAUCAAUGACCGCAUGUGGUGAGGGCCUGUUUUGCUGUGUCUCCACAUGGUGAAAGGUUGUUACAUGAGCAAGAGGGAGCAACAUGGGGCCCUCUCGACCUAAUCACCUCUUAAAACUUCCAUCUAUCAACACUGCUGCACUGCGGACUAAGUUUCUAACAUGAGCUUUGGGGAAUGCAUGUAAACCAUAGCUGCGGAACAGCUUGCGGAACAAGAACCCUGAUUCGCUCCCAGUUUGCCGUUAGCCAUGCUUUCUACAUGUUUCCAUAACAAGAGAGCAAUGAUUGAGGCCAAUCAGCUCGCAUUUCAGUAUUUGAGGAAAAUAACAUUUGUUUCUCUCCCUUCUGCUCUGGGUUACAGUUACCACCCCAUCUAUAUUUUUCCAUAUAAAAAAGUCUGUGGAUGUCAGAUGUUAUGGGCUCCUUUAAAAAAUAGUAUUUACUUAAGGCAUACAACAUAUCAUUUUGAUAUGCUUACAAGUAUAAUGAACUCACUACUACAGUCAAGCAAAUGAACAUGCCCAUCAUCGUACAGUUACUUUUUCUUCUGUGGUCUCCUGCUGCCAUGACUUCCUGUGCCUGCUACAUGCUGCAGAGUCUCUGUUAUGGACCACGGGAUUCCCUGCGUCUGUCAUGGGUCUGUUGUGUUGUAUAUCCACCCACCUGCCCACUCUCAUUGAGUCUCUAUGGAAUCAACUAAUUUCUGCUUUGUCAAUCAGCCCAGUGCUGCUGUGCCACCAUAUCAAGAGACACCUGAAACAUCGGUUACCUGUCAUGGGUCCCCUGCCGCGUGACUUCCUGUAUCUCACUUGCAGUGAUGUCUCCACAGGCCACUUAAAGCCCUGCCUCUCUCUCAUGGACUUCCUGCCCUCAUGUAUCUGUAGAUCUGUCCAAAGCCGAAGUGUCUCCAUGUAAUAAAGCAACUGUAGCUAUGUCUCCAAAAA